rnacentral:rRNA from 1 species
UACGUAGGGGGCAAGCGUUGUCCGGAUUUAUUGGGCGUAAAGAGCUCGUAGGCGGUUCCGUAAGUCGUGAAGUCAAAUCUCUGGGCUCAACCCAGAAUCGCUUCCGAUACUGCGGUGACUGGAGUCCGGUAGGGGAGUGUGGAAUUCCUGGUGUAGCGGUGAAAUGCGCAGAUAUCAGGAGGAACACCAACAGCGAAGGCAGCCCCCUGGGAUAACACUGACGCUCAUGCACGAAAGCGUGGGGAGCAAACAGG